AGCACUUGUUGCAGAAGAGGUAUUUGUGUGCUCGCCUGUUUUGUGUACAGAAACAGCUGUUGCGUCAUGCUAAGCGCCACACAGAUGAGAGGGAAUAUAUCUGUGAGUACUGUGCCAUGCCUUCAAGAGCUCCCAUAACCUGGCUGUUCAUCACGUGAUCCACACAGCAGAGAAGUCAAUCCUCGUCACCUGCCUCCAGAAGGCCUCCCUCAACUGGCACAUGAAGAAGCACGACUCCGACGCCACCUACCAGUUCUCCUGCUCCAUCUGCGGCAAGAAAUUUGAGAAGAAGGACAACGUGAUGGACUACAAGUCCAAGAGCCACCCGGAGGUGUUCAUUACUGAGGCCCUGGCGGCCAAAGCAGGGGCCCUCAUCACCAGCCCUGCCCCAAUCUUAAAGACUUUACCUGGGGCUGUGCCCCCCUGCCAUGGCCCCCUGUCAGCCAGGAAAACCAGGGCCUCAUCCCCCUGCAGAAGGUGGUGCUCCCCCUCACCCCUCAGAACCACCAGAUGGACACCUACCAGACCCAGCUACUACAGCUUGUCCCUCAGUACGAGACUACCACGCUGCUGCAGCUAAGUGCCCACCUCCUCUCGGGGGCCUCCCCCAUCAUCCAGCUGACGGCCCACCCAGCCACAACCACCACCUCCGGCCCCCUCACCACCAUUUUCCUCACCCUUAGGUCCAUUGGUGCCCUGUCAAACCAGUACCGUCACGACCCAUUAGGCCGUGGAGUGGGUUGGGGAGCCAGAGGGAGAGACCCAUAGGGGAGGGGAAAAGGUGACAUGGGAGAAGGUUGUGGUGGGGAGGGAGCAUGAAGGAGCAGUGGUG